GGCAGUUGUGGCCUAAUGGUUAGAGAGUCGGGCUUGUAACCCGAAGGUCGUGGGUUCGAUUUUCAGUCUGGCA